rnacentral:pre_miRNA from 1 species
AGCACAACUGCUGGAUCAUAUGGUAAGAAUAUAUUUAGCUUUGUAAGAACCCACCAGACUGUUUUCCAAAGUGGCUGUGCCAUUUUGCAUUUCCACUAGCAAU